rnacentral:lncRNA from 1 species
CUCCCUUCCCCCAGCAGCCCGGCCCGGCGGCGGGCACUGCGGGCUCUGAGGGAGCUGCAGGCGAGGACUCUGCCCCUGGCCGGCCUUCUCCUCGCCCAUUUACAUUCCUAGCCGGGUGCCUCCAUUCCUAGGUCGCUAUCUGCGACCUCAGGCAGGGCUCUUCUCCAGGCGCCUCUGUGAGGCCUCUUUAGGUGGGGAUGAGGGGGGACCACCAAGAUACUGCCCCCCUGACUCAGGGCCCAGUGCUCCUCCACUCCCCGCUGUCCUCCUCCACACCCACCCCUCCUCCUCCCUGUGGGGUCCCCUCAACACGUGCUCUGCUCCACCUGACCCUCCACAGGUGCGCCACUCAUGGGGGAAGAUGGAACGGGGCGUCGGUGCCUUCUCGCUUCUGUCACCGCAGACUUCCUAUAAAUGUGGUCAUACUCUACGCUUCCUUUGUGUAAGGCUCCUUUCACUCAGGGCAAUGUUUCUGAGGUUCACCUUUACUGUGGGCAGCGGCAGCUCGUUCCUUCCCGUUGCACGCAUCAGAGAGUGGAACUCUGUGUCAUCGGGUAGGCAUCGUUUAGUUCUCCAAGAAACUCCCAGACCUUUUCCCAAAACGGUUGUCCCAUUUCACGUUCCCACCAACAACGUCUGAGAUUUCCAGCUCCACAUCCUCAGAAAUCUUUAAUGCUGUCAGGGGAGAACGUGAACACAGAGCAGUCCCCUCCUAGGACACGUGGGGAAAUCACAGGGGUGAGCAUUGGAUGAGCCUUGUCCUGGGGAAACCACCUUUGUGAUCACGGCAUCUCAUCUGCCAGUCUGCCAGGAAAGCCGCUGUCUCAAGAAUAUCAAGGAGGGCAGGCUUCCCAGACCUCAACUCCUCACUCCCGGCGCACGAACCUGCCUCAAACAGGAAGACGAGACAAGAGACAACGAUGAAGGACGCCCACCUGCCAUCCUCCUAUCCCCCCACCCCCCACCCCCGCC